UACGGGGGGGGUAAGCGUUGUUCGGAAUUACUGGGCGUAAAGGGCGCGUAGGCGGUCUUCUAAGUCUUGUGUGAAAUCCCUCGGCUCAACUGAGGAACUGCACGGGAUACUGGAAGACUUGAGUUCGGGAGAGGGAAGCGGAAUUCCGGGUGUAGCGGUGAAAUGCGUAGAUAUCCGGAGGAACACCGGUGGCGAAGGCGGCUUCCUGGACCGAUUACUGACGCUGAGGCGCGAAAGCUAGGGGAGCAAACGGG
rnacentral:rRNA from 1 species